UAACAAAACAUGGUUUUUUGAUAAUAAUUAAAAAUCGGUUCUGCUCACUGAAUAGUUAUAUUUAAAGAGCUGCAGUAUUCUGACUGUGCAAAGGUAGCAAAGUCAUUUGUUUUUUUAUUGGAAACUGGAAUGAAAGAAUUGAUGAGAUAUAUACUGUCUCGGUAUAAUUUAUAGAAAUUGAAAUUUAAGUUAAAAUUCUUAAAUUAUUUUAUUAGACGAGAAGACCCUAUAGAAUUUUAUAUAAUUUAUAAGUUUUUUUUAAUUAGAUUCAUUAAAGGAGGAAAUUUGUAUAUUAUAUUUGAUUGGGAGGAUUUUUAAAUUUAUAGAACUUUAAAUUUUAUGAAACAAUUAUUUUUGAAAAAUUGAGUUUGUAAUAAUUAAAAGAUUAAAUUACCUUAGGGAUAACAGCGUAAUAUUUUUGGAGAGAUCAUAUUAAUAAAAGUGUUUGCGACCUCGAUGUUGAAUUAAGAUAUAAAUUAAAUGUAGAAGUUUAAUAUUUAAGUUUGUUCAACUUUUAAAAUCUUACGUGAUCUGAGUUC
rnacentral:rRNA from 1 species